CCUACGGGAGGCAGCAGUGAGGAAUAUUGGUCAAUGGACGAGAGUCUGAACCAGCCAAGUAGCGUGAAGGAUGACUGCCCUAUGGGUUGUAAACUUCUUUUAUAUGGGAAUAAAAUGUUCCACGUGUGGGAUUUUGUAUGUACCAUAUGAAUAAGGAUCGGCUAACUCCGUGACAGCAGCCGCGGUAAUACGGAGGAUCCGAGAGUUAUCCGGAUUUGUUGGGUUUAAAGGGAGCGUAGGUGGAUUGGUAAGUCAGUUGUGAAAGUUUGCGGCUCAACCGUAAAAUUGCAGUUGAAACUGGCAGUCUUGAGUACAGUAGAGGUGGUCGGAAUUCGUGGUGUAGCGGUGAAAUGCUUAGAUAUCACGAAGAACUCCGAGUGCGAAGGCAGUUCACUGGACUGCAACUGACACUGAGGCUCGAAAGUGUGGGUAUCAAACAGGAUUAGAUACCCGUGUAGUC
rnacentral:rRNA from 1 species